rnacentral:rRNA from 1 species
AUUUUGGACAAUGGGGGAAGCCCUGAUCCAGCCAUCCCGCGUGUGCGAUGAAGGCCUUCGGGUUGUAAAGUACUUUUGGCUGAGAAGAAAAGGUAUCCCCUAAUACGGGAUACUGCUGACGGUACCUGCAGAAUAAGCACCGGCUAACCACGCUCCAGCCGCCGCGGUAACACGUAGGGUGCAAGCGUUACUCGGAAUUACUGGGCGUAAAGCGUGUGUAGGCGGGUCGGAAAGAAAGUUGUGAAAUCCCAGGGCUCAACCUUGGAACUGCAUUUUUAACUGCCGAGCUAGAGUAUGUCAGAGGGGGGUAGAAUUCCACGUGUAGCAGUGAAAUGCGUAGAUAUGUGGAGGAAUACCGAUGGCGAAGGCAGCCCCCUGGGAUAAUACUGACGCUCAGACACGAAAGCGUGGGGAGCAAACAGG